CAGGACCGGAAGUCCCACCAGGUGCCAGGUGCGAGACUCCUUCACACACGUGCAGGAGAGCUAGUCCAGCAGCUCCUAAUGCACCGUCAGUGAAGUUGGACUGAUUUAAGUAUGUUAAAAGCUCCACUCUGAACUGAAGAUCAGGCUGAAGAGAGAUCAGGAAGCUGCCCAGGUGACUCAGACAAAACACAUACAAGAUUACUGAGCGCAAGCUGUGUUCCCAGGUUCCUGGUCCCCUCCCUUAGGAAGCUCACCAUCUGGUGAGAGGAAGAUAACACUGCACUGUAACUAGCGUGCAGAGGGCACUUGUGCAGUCCAGAUGAGCGGGCCUAACGAGGACUUCACAGGACGGGUACCCAGCUCUGCUUGGAAGAGAGGGGCAGACAGGAGUGUAUUCCAAGUAGAAGUUGCAUUUUGGCACUCUGGGGGAAAGCACGCAAUUCAACAAAAAGAUAUAAAAAGAGAAGACGCUGAGAAAGAACUCUCCAGGAGAAGGAGUCAAAGAUCUUGUAGUGCUGAGGAGAUCAAAAGGAGAGAAGCUCUCGAGAAGGAAGUGCCGUGUCUAAUCCCACAGAAAGUGUGGGGACGCAGCAAGAAGAUUGCCGUCUGCAAACUGGUAAGAGGAAUUUCAACAGGACUCAACCCUGUUGGCACUCUCAUCUUGGACUUUACAGCCUAUAGAACUGUGAGAAAUAAAUUUCUAUUGAUUAAGCCA
rnacentral:lncRNA from 1 species